CACUUGAACGUGUAUUUGGACACUGUCGAAAAACAGCUCAUGGGAUUUUGGAGAAAUCAAAUAAAUUUCUUGAUAUUCAUCAAAGAAUAUGUUGCUUUUUACGUGUUUGAGUGUCAACAACAUUGGGCAUCAUUGAAAAUGGCGAGUUCUUUCGGUGUGGAGCUUCGCCGACCUCCUCCGAUCUGUCGACUUUGGUAGGCGAUUAGCGUGAAAUACAUUUCGCAGAAGUCAAGUGGAUAACGCUUGUGUUUGGCGUUUGCUUUCGAGGAGUGAAAUGUCGACGCAAAAGGCCCGGAGACGGCAGCGAUCAGUCUACGCUUCGCUCGACGCCCGUUUCAUAAACAUGGUGUUACUCGCAGCCGGAAUCCCGAAAGCCACAAGAAACUCGAACCCGGACACAAAUUUCACGCCAACGACAGUGGAAUAGGCAACAUAACGUAUUGGCACAAGUGAGGAGCUGAAUGAGUCACCACAAUACACCAAGUAGCUGUUCUUCCAGCGACAACUGCAGCACGGCAGCAAUCAACACUGAAAAGCGAGACAAGCUCCAGUGAAAACACAAAGUGCCGAUCAAGAGCCUCGGUCAGAGUGUCAGUAAGGAGUGCUCGCAUCAUUGUCUCCUGUGUAUUUCUCCCAUUUCGUGAUAAGCUACCAGUGCUUGUUUGUGUUGCACAUGUUUAAGCCAGUGUAGUCACACAAGUAUAUCCAAUGUUUAUUUGUUACUAUAUUGUACACAGUAUUUAUUAGUACUCAUUCCUAAUAUACACAAUAUUUAUCAAAGCGCAUUGUUUUAAAUUACGUAAUGUAAUGUAGGAUGUCAUUUCGUUCUUACACUCUCGGACUGUUUAUUGUCUGAACAGAAGAUUCAUGCAAAAUAAUUUCAACGUUAAUCUCGCUGUUAUCAAUUCUGAGCUCUGUCAACAUCUUGCUGACUGUCACAGCUGUUGUGCUGACAUUUACUCAGCCUUCGUGUUGAGGAAAGAAAGAAAUUGGGGCAAAACCUUUCUUCUUGAACAAGUGGAAGCUGCAAGUAGGGAUAAUUGUGUUAUGUGUUCUCAUUUCCUUCGCUAUUGAAGUUUCUUGCUUCAAAAUGUAUUGGUAUUGAUUAAAAUAUUUUUGUUUAAGAAUCUGUCGUCGUGUGCAUUGCGUUCAUCAUGGGAUAAUCAAUCAAUCAAAUGUUUAUUGACCACCUGUUUAAAAAACAGAAUACAACAUAAGACUGUGAAGGAGCUUGGUGAGGAGGAGGUGCAGCUUGCUGCUGUGCAUGAUGCACAAGCAGUUAAUGUCCUAGCAGCAGCUCGAAAAAUUAUAACGACACACAAGAAGCUUCAAGCCUUAUUUAGCAAUGGAUGGCUCUCUUAUGGGGAGCUGUCUACAGAGUGAGUCAUCCCGCUCCCCAAACAAAGUUGACAACUUAUUGAAGAAGCAGGGGAAUGUCAUCCAUUGCGGUCUCUCCAGAAUAAACUGGGACACGUUACUGCAUGCGAUAUGGACUAAUGCUCUGAAGGCAAACAAUGUGACAACCGAGCUUGUUUCUACAAACCACUUCUACUCACUGGCAUGGAAUGUAUUUCGUUAAAUUAACAGGACUUAAAGGUGUGCUUAAAGGUGAUGUAACAAGUAUCCCACCGAAAAUGCUGCUCAGGCCAUGACGUCAAUCUGUGGCACGUGCAGCAAGGUAGGCUAGCCAAUCAUGUAAAUCUGGACUGAGUUUACAUUACAUGGGUGACCAUUUUCACAUACAAUGCACACUAGAGCUUGUAUCGGCUAACUAUAUCGUACAGUCAGAGCGUUGCAACGAAAUUAUUGUGCGUUUGGGUCAGGUUUGUGCCAUUCUAGUUAUAGUUCUAGUUCUUCUGUUUCUAGCUGGUUCGGCGUGUGGGAUAUGUGCCAUAAAGCACAGCUACAAUCUCAAAUGGGAACAAAAACAGAAAUUUGUGGUGUAAGAAAAAUUAGGGACAGCAAGCACCUUUACUUUUCCAUUGUUUUAUGGUUUGGUGGUUAUGUGUACCCAAAUUUUGCAGUCUGGAUAUGGUGCUAUUGCAAUGCCUGGAUUCCCAUUCCAUAAUGUGUUAUCUCUUUUCUUUCAUCACUCGUGAACAGUAUCAUUCCUGUUUUUGUUGUUUGUCGUCCCCUGUAUCUCUCCUUUGGUGUUUCGUUGUUUGCGGCCUGUAUAAUAUCCGUGUAUGAUAUAUGUACUGCAGGCAGCUCUCAUUCAGCUCAAACGCUGAGCUUCAGACGAUCCCACCUGAUGACAGAGACAAACUUGGGAGUAGAUAUGUUUCGGUGGUCUUUGGCGCAUAUUUCGAGUCCUAUAUUGCCGCACUUGUGCAACAACGUAUUUAUCUACAAUCUUACGCAAUCAAGCUGCGUAUGUGACACGUAGCCCACGUACGAGCACCAGUUGCGAUUCAAACGCGAUUAUUUCUUGCACGAAAUCAUGCUUAAAAACACAGGCGCAUUCUCAUAUUUUGCUGCUCGGUAAAUAUCCUAGCAGUAGACGCCGUAGACGAACGAAGUACUCCGCUGCUUCCAAAAUUAAGCGCCUUGAUUUGUACCGUUUUCUCGGUGUGAUGCGUUUUUGUUUUUUCUGGUGGUGUUGACGUUCUCGGAGCCGCAUAAACAAACAACAUCGACGAUAAAAAUGCGCAAUAUUUUACGACGAAUGAAUAUAUCGGCAGCGUAGGCAGUCACCCGCCGCCAUGCUCCAUCGGCCGUCGUCGUCCCCGAUUGGUUACUGAGUCGAUGACGAGUCGUGAUGUCAGGAUGUCAGUGUAUAAGCGGCCCCGUAUGACCAGUAUGACCAGCUAUCGUGUGUUGUGUUUGCUGUUCAUGUUGAAAGUGUCGUUCUGUCAAACAAGACAAGCAUCAAACACUGUUGCGAGGCAUGUUUUGUAUCGUCAAUGUGACCAGUCGAUUAUACAUAAACAAAACAUGUUUGCAUGCACGUUGUUAAACGUGUUUUGAGCGUUUGUAUAACCAGUGUGAUUGCAGCCUAAGGAGGGAGCACGACCGUUUCUUUCCGAAUCACAAAAGUGUAGUGGAAGUGACGACAUAUAGUACGCGUCAUGAGGACGUCAUAUCGAUCAGGUGACUAAAGGUAGCCAAUCUGCGGUGAGACUUCGCCACAACUGGGUCAAACAAACUGGGGCAGCUGCCGGCGUGGAUGGCGUUUUGUGGCGCCCGGCGAGAUGCUAGCAAUAAGAGAUAGAUACGAGAUACUAGCAGUUAAGAUUACUAAACCGACGAACAAGUGAUACGAUGAAUUUCGUAGCAUUGUCGGUGCACGCUGCGAACUUUCAGGGGAACAAUUAUGCUGAAAAUUUGACUGGAGAAAGCAAUCACGAGCUGCGAGGAACGGAUGAAAUCCGACCAUGUUCUUGUUAGCGUUAUCUAUUCAGUGCUGUUUGGCUCCAUAGCGUAGUAAGUUUUCAUUGUCUGUACCACAGUACUGACAGUAACCUGCUGGAUGCAACCGGGAAAGUACAGAACGCACGGGUAGGUUAUGCUGCAUGUCGUCGCUGUACGCAAGUAGCUGAGAAAAAUCAGGCUUGCGCAAACCACAUUGUUGUACCUGAUGUCAUCACAGCAAUAAAUGGAACGUUUCUUAUCAUUUAUU